GAGGUGGUGAAGAGAAUUACUAAAUGGUGGUCCAAUGGAUCACUUGUUUGGAAUGAACGUAACUUAAGAAAUUCGUUGAUAAACAACUGGAGGGCAAGUCCUGGUGCCAGCAGCCGCGGUAAUUCCAGCUCCAGUAGUUUGCUUUAAAGUUGUUGCGUUUAAAACGCUCGUAGUUGGAUCAAGAAGCAGUGUUCAGUUAUCUUUUGUUGCUCACCUUCAUUUGUGUCCGUCUCUGACGGCUCAUUUGCUGGCAGGCGCACUAGAUGCUAUGCUGAAUGCUGUUAGUUGCACGUGAGAUAGAUUGUUGGCCUUAAAUGAGCCGGUAUUCUUGUCUUGCGGGGUGUGCCUUGAAUAAAACAGAGUGCUUAAAGCAGGUUAUUGCCUGAAUGUUAUAGCAUGGAACGAACAAUCGUGUAUAUGCACGUGUUAUUGGAUCGCUGCGAGCUUUUGGUUUGUAGCUUUCCGAAAUGCGUGCGGCACCCACCAAAAUAUGGCUGUUGGUUCCAUAUACGGUGAUGAUUAACAGGAGCGGUUGGGGGCAUCGGUAUUUGGCCGCGAGAGGUGAAAUUCUUAGACCGGCCAAGGACUAACAAAUGCAAAGGCACUUGUCUAGACCGUUUCCAUUAAUCAAGAACGAAAGUGGGAGGUUCGAAGACGAUCAGAUACCGUCAUAGUUCCCACCGUAAACUAUGCCGACCUGGGAUCAGUUUGGAGAUGAUACAAGCUCCAAAUUGGUCCCCCUGGGAAACCUAAAGUUUUUCGGUUACGGGGAGAGUAUGGUCGCAAGGCUGAAACUUAAAGGAAUUGACGGAAGGGCACCACCAGGGGUGGAGCCUGCGGCUUAAUUUGACUCAACACGGGGAAACUUACCUGGUCCGGACAUCGAAAGGAUUAACAGAUCAAUAGCUCUUUUAUGAUACGAUGAGUGGUGGUGCAUGGCCGUUCUUAGUUCGUGGAGUGAUCUGUCAGCUUAAUUGCGGUAACGAACGAGACCACAGUCUCCAUUUGAGAGAUGGAAGAAGGUGUUUGGCCGGAAGACUUCGGUUGACGGUUGAACACUGUAGGUAGAACUGAGUUUCCUUUGUCGAUAUCGAGGGGCAACCUGAGGUAUUGGCGUUGGGAACGCAGUUUCUCCCUUCCAUUUCGCAGCAGUCGGCCUCGGCUGGCUGUUGCUUCAUGGAGAGACAACGAGGUAUAAACAAGCUCGAGGAAGAGUGGCUAUAACAGGUCAGUGAUGCCCUUC
rnacentral:rRNA from 1 species